CCUACGGGGAGCAGCAGUGGGGGAUAUUGCACAAUGGGGGGAACCCUGAUGCAGCGACGCCGCGUGGGUGAAGGAGCGCUUCGGCGCGUAAAGCCCUAUCGGCAGGGAAGAAGAUGACGGUACCUGACCAAGAAGCCCCGGCUAACUACGUGCCAGCAGCCGCGGUAAUACGUAGGGGGCAAGCGUUAUCCGGAUUUACUGGGGGUAAAGGGGGCGCAGACGGCAAUGCAAGCCAGGAGUGAAUGCCCAGGGCGCAACCCCGGGACUGCUCUUGGAACUGCAUGGCUGGAGUACAGGAGUGGUAGGCGGAAUUCCUGGAGUAGCGGUGAAAUGUGUAGAUAGUAGGAGGAACACCAGUGGCGAAGGCGGCUUACUGGACUGUAACUGACGUUGAGGCUCGAAAGCGUGGGGAGCAAACAGGAUUAGAUACCCCUGUAGUC
rnacentral:rRNA from 1 species